UGAUCUGAAAUCAGGCGGGAUUACCCGCUGAACUUAA
rnacentral:rRNA from 3 species